UGCCAGCCGCCGCGGUAAGACGGAGGGUGCAAACGUUGUUCGGAAUCACUGGGCAUAAAGCGCACGUAGGCGGCCCAUCCAGUCUGAUGUGAAAUCCCAGGGCUCAACCCUGGAACUGCCUUUGAUACUGUCAGUCUAGAGACCGAGAGAGGUGAGUGGAAUUUCCAGUGUAGAGGUGAAAUUCGUAGAUAUUAGAAGGAACAUCAGUAGCGAAGGCGACUAUCUGGGUCUUUAUUGACGCUGAGAUACUAAGGCGUAGGGAGCGAACAGGAUUAGAUA
rnacentral:rRNA from 1 species